rnacentral:rRNA from 1 species
GACGAACGCUGGCGGCGUGCUUAACACAUGCAAGUCGAACGGAAAGGCCCUGCUUGCAGGGUACUCGAGUGGCGAACGGGUGAGUAACACGUGGGUGAUCUGCCCUGCACUUCGGGAUAAGCCUGGGAAACUGGGUCUAAUACCGGAUAGGAGCCAUUUUUAGUGUGAUGGUUGGAAAGUUUUUUCGGUGUAGGAUGAGCUCGCGGCCUAUCAGCUUGUUGGUGGGGUAAUGGCCUACCAAGGCGGCGACGGGUAGCCGGCCUGAGAGGGUGGACGGCCACAUUGGGACUGAGAUACGGCCCAGACUCCUACGGGAGGCAGCAGUGGGGAAUAUUGCACAAUGGGCGCAAGCCUGAUGCAGCGACGCCGCGUGGGGGAUGACGGCCUUCGGGUUGUAAACUCCUUUCGCUAGGGACGAAGCUUUUGUGACGGUACCUAGAUAAGAAGCACCGGCUAACUACGU